GGGUUGUGAGGUUAAGCGACUAAGCGUACACGGUGGAUGCCCUGGCAGUCAGAGGCGAUGAAGGACGUGCUAAUCUGCGAAAAGCGUCGGUAAGGUGAUAUGAACCGUUAUAACCGGCGAUGUCCGAAUGGGGAAACCCAGUGCAAUUCGUUGCACUAUCGUUAACUGAAUACAUAGGUUAACGAGGCGAACCGGGGGAACUGAAACAUCUAAGUACCCCGAGGAAAAGAAAUCAACCGAGAUUCCCCCAGUAGCGGCGAGCGAACGGGGAGCAGCCCAGAGUCUGAAUCAGCUUGUGUGUUAGUGGAACGGUCUGGAAAGUCCGACGGUACAGGGUGAUAGUCCCGUACACCAAAAUGCACAGGUUGUGAACUCGAAGAGUAGGGCGGGACACGUGGUAUCCUGUCUGAAUAUGGGGGGACCAUCCUCCAAGGCUAAAUACUCCUGACUGACCGAUAGUGAACCAGUACCGUGAGGGAAAGGCGAAAAGAACCCCGGCGAGGGGAGUGAAAAAGAACCUGAAACCGUGUACGUACAAGCAGUGGGAGCACCUUCGGGUGUGACUGCGUACCUUUUGUAUAAUGGGUCAGCGACUUAUAUUCUGUAGCAAGGUUAACCGUAUAGGGGAGCCGCAGGGAAACCGAGUCUUAACUGGGCGUUAAGUUGCAGGGUAUAGACCCGAAACCCGGUGAUCUAGCCAUGGGCAGGUUGAAGGUUGGGUAACACUAACUGGAGGACCGAACCGACUAAUGUUGAAAAAUUAGCGGAUGACUUGUGGCUGGGGGUGAAAGGCCAAUCAAACCGGGAGAUAGCUGGUUCUCCCCGAAAGCUAUUUAGGUAGCGCCUCGUGAACUCAUCUUCGGGGGUAGAGCACUGUUUCGGCUAGGGGGUCAUCCCGACUUACCAACCCGAUGCAAACUACGAAUACCGAAGAAUGUUAUCACGGGAGACACACGGCGGGUGCUAACGUCCGUCGUGAAGAGGGAAACAACCCAGACCGCCAGCUAAGGUCCCAAAGUCAUGGUUAAGUGGGAAACGAUGUGGGAAGGCACAGACAGCCAGGAUGUUGGCUUAGAAGCAGCCAUCAUUUAAAGAAAGCGUAAUAGCUCACUGGUCGAGUCGGCCUGCGCGGAAGAUGUAACGGGGCUAAACCAUGCACCGAAGCUGCGGCAGCGACACUAUGUGUUGUUGGGUAGGGGAGCGUUCUGUAAGCCUGUGAAGGUGACCUGUGAGGGUUGCUGGAGGUAUCAGAAGUGCGAAUGCUGACAUAAGUAACGAUAAAGCGGGUGAAAAGCCCGCUCGCCGGAAGACCAAGGGUUCCUGUCCAACGUUAAUCGGGGCAGGGUGAGUCGACCCCUAAGGCGAGGCCGAAAGGCGUAGUCGAUGGGAAACAGGUUAAUAUUCCUGUACUUGGUGUUACUGCGAAGGGGGGACGGAGAAGGCUAUGUUAGCCGGGCGACGGUUGUCCCGGUUUAAGCAUGUAGGCUGAUUGUCCAGGCAAAUCCGGAUAAUCAAGGCUGAGGUGUGAUGACGAGGCACUACGGUGCUGAAGUAACAAAUGCCCUGCUUCCAGGAAAAGCCUCUAAGCAUCAGGUAACAUUAAAUCGUACCCCAAACCGACACAGGUGGUCAGGUAGAGAAUACCAAGGCGCUUGAGAGAACUCGGGUGAAGGAACUAGGCAAAAUGGUGCCGUAACUUCGGGAGAAGGCACGCUGGUGUGUAGGUGAAGCCCCUGCGGGUGGAGCUGAGACCAGUCGAAGAUACCAGCUGGCUGCAACUGUUUAUUAAAAACACAGCACUGUGCAAACACGAAAGUGGACGUAUACGGUGUGACGCCUGCCCGGUGCCGGAAGGUUAAUUGAUGGGGUUAUCCGUAAGGAGAAGCUCUUGAUCGAAGCCCCGGUAAACGGCGGCCGUAACUAUAACGGUCCUAAGGUAGCGAAAUUCCUUGUCGGGUAAGUUCCGACCUGCACGAAUGGCGUAAUGAUGGCCAGGCUGUCUCCACCCGAGACUCAGUGAAAUUGAACUCGCUGUGAAGAUGCAGUGUACCCGCGGCAAGACGGAAAGACCCCGUGAACCUUUACUAUAGCUUGACACUGAACAUUGAGCCUUGAUGUGUAGGAUAGGUGGGAGGCUUUGAAGCGUGGACGCCAGUCUGCGUGGAGCCAACCUUGAAAUACCACCCUUUAAUGUUUGAUGUUCUAACGUUGGCCCCUGACCGGGGUUGCGGACAGUGUCUGGUGGGUAGUUUGACUGGGGCGGUCUCCUCCCAAAGCGUAACGGAGGAGCACGAAGGUUAGCUAAUCCUGGUCGGACAUCAGGAGGUUAGUGCAAUGGCAUAAGCUAGCUUGACUGCGAGCGUGACGGCGCGAGCAGGUGCGAAAGCAGGUCAUAGUGAUCCGGUGGUUCUGAAUGGAAGGGCCAUCGCUCAACGGAUAAAAGGUACUCCGGGGAUAACAGGCUGAUACCGCCCAAGAGUUCAUAUCGACGGCGGUGUUUGGCACCUCGAUGUCGGCUCAUCACAUCCUGGGGCUGAAGUAGGUCCCAAGGGUAUGGCUGUUCGCCAUUUAAAGUGGUACGCGAGCUGGGUUUAGAACGUCGUGAGACAGUUCGGUCCCUAUCUGCCGUGGGCGCUGGAGAAUGGAGGGGGGCUGCUCCUAGUACGAGAGGACCGGAGUGGACGCAUCACUGGUGUUCGGGUUGUCAUGCCAAUGGCACUGCCCGGUAGCUAAAUGCGGAAGAGAUAAGUGCUGAAAGCAUCUAAGCACGAAACUUGCCCCGAGAUGAGUUCUCCCUGAGACUNUAAGUCUCCUGAAGGAACGUUAAAGACGAUGACGUUGAUAGGCCGGGUGUGUAAGCGCAGCGAUGCGUUGAGCUAACCGGUACUAAUGAACCGUGAGGCUUAACCUUACAACGCCGAAG
rnacentral:rRNA from 1 species